rnacentral:misc_RNA from 1 species
AACGGUCUAUACCUGCGGUACCUGCGGAAGGAUCAUUACCGAGUUUUCAACUCCCAAACCCCAUGUGAACUUAUACCAUUUACAACCGUUGCUUCGGCGGGUUCUCGCCCCGGGCUUUACACCCCGGAACCAGGCGGCCCGCCGGGGGACCCAAACUCUAGAUUUAUAUUUUAGCAUGUCUGAGUGGAAUCAUUACAAAAUGAAUCAAAACUUUUAACAAUGGAUCUCUAGAUCGGAAGA